CUAGAAUGGCACAAGACUUAUGACAUCCAUCUGUGAGAUUUCUAACUUAACUUUUCAUUCUGAUACAUGGGAGAAAAACAGCAACGUGACGUUUCUGAAAACCAACCAAAUGGCAUAAGUUGAAGAGAUCUAAAUAAAGGAAUGGCAAACAAAGUGGACAGACAACAUGGUGAGAAUUUGGCUGCAGAGCAGCAGAAUUCUAGCAACCAAACAAAAAGCAUGGACUGGACUGUCAUUGCCCUCACCUGCCAAUACAAGGAUAGUAUUUAUGCUUUUCAAAGAGGUUGCUGAAGCCAAUUAUAAGGUCCUGAUUGUUGUCCUGACCACGAUCAACUGACACAGUGCAGGCCAGAAAGAAAACAAAAAGGAUUGCAUAAUCCAGAUCAUGGCGGAAGACUGGACACUAAGACCAGGAAAGAAGCUACUAUUAGGGAGCUGACUCAGCACGGAUGGGGAUGUAAACUUCAGGCUGAAGAGGCAGGUGGAGCUGGUUACUGCACAGCAUGUGCAGAUCCAGUCCAUUGUCUCCUCCACACCAAGGAAAUGAUGGCCUUGUAGUAUUAGAUUAAUCCAGAAGCUCAGUGGAUAUUCCAAGGACCUGGGUUCAAAUCCUGCCAUGGCAGAUGAUGGAAUUUGCAUUCAAUAAAAAUAUCUGGAAUUAAAAAUUUACUGAUCACCAUGAACUGGCUAGCUCAGAUUUUAAAGUUACGUUUCCUCGUGCUGGACUCUGAUGCCAGCAAAUACAGUUUCACUGUCUAUCCCUAGCAAAUCCUUUAAUCAGCGAAAUGCAUUACUUACGCAUCCCUUAAUCUUGGCAACCUCUCCUCAUAGUUUAAUCCUCUUAGCUCAGUGUCAUUCUAGUGAAUUUGCACACCUCUGAGCCCAGUAUAUGCUUCGCAAGAAAUACUGAUUAUUAUGCUUUAUGUAAAUAAUUAAAAAUCUUGCACAGAUCAACAAAGUCACUGAAGGCUGUCUUGUAACUUUUCACUGUUAAAAUGUUACAUUUACCUAUAAUUAUUAUUUGUUAGGUUAUGAGGUAAUAUAAAUUUGACAGUUAUUUUCCUCUGAGUCUAAAAAUUCUAGUCUGCAAAGCCAGGUGACAAGCAAAGGGAAAUUAAAAUGUUUACACUUGUUGCAAUGACAUUCCACGUCUUGGAAUUACUUUUGUUUAUUUUGAUGCCUUCAUUAAAGCUUAAAGGCUUCAACCAAGUCUAGACUUGGAAUUGAUGCUUUUCCUCAGAUGUGACUUCAUGAGAUGAAUUUGGAUUAGGUAGCAGUGUACCUAAUUUCCCAAAAGGGUUCAGUCCAAUUUAGUCUGAAAUACCACUGUGCCAUAGAGCCCUAAGAACUGUGGUCCGAAAAAUAUUAUACUCAACUUGUUCAGAGAUGUCAUGACACAUUCUUGCAGCAGGUGAGACUUGAACCCAAGCCUCCGGGCUCAGAGGUAGGAACACUACCACUGAUCCAUAGGAGUCCCCAGUCUUAGCUCCUUUUUGGUUUUAGAUACCCCCACCACUACCAGCAGUUUGUUUAGGGUAAUUCACUGUCACAAUCUUCCUUUGUCUUGAUAUUUCCUAAUCAAUCUGUUCAAAUAAAUUAUGACAUAGCUCUGGAGCAGGUCGGAUUUGAACUGAGUUUCCUAGCUCAGAGGUAGGGUCACCACCAUUGCACCACAAAAGCCUUCUGAACUCUGUUCCUAAAUACAAAAGUCCAACAAACAUUACCUGCUCUCAAUCAACUCUGGACCUGUUCUGGUUGAGCCUAAAAAGACCAACAUUUCUAAAUCCCACAGUUCAUCUAGGAAUGGUGUUUCCACAGUGCUGUUAAUUAGCGGGUUCCAGAAUAUUGGCCCAGCAGUGAUAGAGAAGCAUCAAUAUUUGUAUAAUCCUAAUGCAGCAUAACGUGGAAGAAGAAUUUGGAAGUAGCAUUAUAUUCAUGCAGUUGCUGCCCUUGUUUCUAUGUGGUGAAAGUAUAUGUUUGGGAGGUGCUCUUAAAGAUGCCUUAAUAUGUUGCUGCUGAGUAUACUGCAGUAAGUAUGUGGAGAAAGUGGAUGUUUAAAGUAAUGAUGGGUUGUAAAUAUCAUCUUUUUAAAUGUAAGCAACCUUUGUUGUAAAAUGACAUUCAUUCAGAUUUACCAUGAAUGGCUAAUCUAAUUUGUGACUGGUUUUGUGUAUAACUCACAUUAUUUGUAAAAACCACAUCUAUUACAAUAAUGUAUACUUGUUGAUUUUACUUAACUCUGUAUUCUCCAUGCCAGCUGUCUAAAGUAGAUGAUGAUGUUGCCAAUUUACCAUAGAUCAUAGUAUAUAAAUCAACUUCCUCACCUCAUUUUCCAGCUAAUACUUGUUUAGGUCUCUGUUUAUAUCUGGAGAAAACUAUCCCCCAGGUUUUGAAUACUUUCUGGACCCUACUUUGUUUUAACUCUGAAGAAUUUGCAGUGUGUCAUUUUUAAAUUGGACUUCACAAAACAGAUGUUUUUGUAGGGGGAAACCACCCAUCUAUUUCAAAGGGGAAAAGAAACUUAAAAAUUGAAGAACCCCGACCAAAAAGGAGAUCUAUAAAAAUAAUUCAGUUGACCUCUCCACAUUGUGCAUGAUGCAGAUGAGAAAUUUAAUGCUGAUUUGUUAUAGCUGAGUAUUUAGCUGGUACAAAAUCCCUCCGGCUGCAUGUGAAAAACAUCUUUAGAUCUCAAGGGAGGAUCCAGUGAGAAGCAACACUAGAAAAUAAAUUUUAAAAACAAACUAAUUUAUAGAAAGCAGAUAGCACUAAUGAGGAAAUAUAAUAAUCUAACCC